UACGAAGGGCGCAAACGUUGCUCGGAAUUAUUGGGCGUAAAGCGCACGUAGGCGGCUUUGCAAGUCGGAUGUGAAAUCCCUCGGCUUAACCAAGGAAGUGCAUCCGAAACUGCAGAGCUUGAGUACUUAAGAGGAUCGCGGAAUUCCCGGUGUAGAGGUGAAAUUCGUAGAUAUCGGGAGGAACACCAGUGGCGAAGGCGGCGAUCUGGGAAGAUACUGACGCUGAGAUGCGAAAGCGUGGGGAGCAAACAGG
rnacentral:rRNA from 1 species